AUCGAGUGAGUGAAGGCAGGCAAACAAUUGAGGGUGAGGGUGGGUUCCCACGUUUAACAGGGAGGGAGGGAAAACAUGCAAGUUUAGGGGGAAGAAGAGGCAACAAUCUGCUGAGAACCAAAAGGUGGAAAAAAAGGAAGAGGCGGAGGUACUUUCUUUCAGGUGGAGAUCUCCUUAAACUUUAUUUUUUUAGUCUAAAUUUGAAGUUUUUAAACUCAAUUCUCAAAUUGUAGCUUUCUUCACACAUGCUCAGAGAAAGCACGACAUAGCUAGGAAAAAAACAAAAAGUAGGGAAGGUUUCUCCAGGUAAGCUGGGUUUCUCUCCAUACUCACCAUCUUCAGACAAAGAGAACAGAGGAGGAGGAGGAGGAAGAGGAGGAAUUGGAGAGAAACCCAGAUUA